GAUGAAGAACGUAGCGAAAUGCGAUAAGUAGUGUGAAUUGCAGAAUUCAGUGAAUCAUCGAAUCUUUGAACGCACAUUGCGCCCCUUGGUAUUCCGGGGGGCAUGCCUGUUCGAGCGUCAUUUCAACCCUCAAGCUCAGCUUGGUAUUGAGUCCAUGUCAGUAAUGGCAGGCUCUAAAAUCAGUGGCGGCGCCGCUGGGUCCUGAACGUAGUAAUAUCUCUCGUUACAGGUUCUCGGUGUGCUUCUGCCAAAACCCAAAUUUUCUAUGGUUGACCUCGGAUCAGGUAGGGAUACCCGCUGAACUUAAGCAUAUCAAUAAGCGGAGGA
rnacentral:misc_RNA from 1 species